GUGAGUCUGCAAUUGGCGUCGAGCGGAGGGGAAGUGGAGUCAGGUGUUCCUCAGACAUUAAGCAGCGAGGGAAGAGGAGUCAGGAGGAAGCGUCUUGUCUCGAGGUGUUCUCCUUCCUGGUGGUGGAGGCAGAUGCCGCGGCCAAGCAGCGGCGCAUCACGUCACCGGGAGGAAAGGAAUGAAAGUGUUUUAAUAGCUAACGGAAUGAAGUAAUCCUCUGUACACAACGCUACUUACGGAAUACAACGAAUUAUAAUUGUAGUAAGAUCGGAGAGUGUGAAACAUUAAGAGCACAAAAGAACACGAGUGUUGAAACUCUUAAGUUAUAAGGACGAAGUGACAAGUCCAUUGCCCAACCCUGACCCUCGGUAGCAGCAGUAGCAGCAGCAGCAGCAGCAGCAGCAGCAGCAGCCGUGAGGUGGAGGUGAUGCGCGCCAGGGUGCGGUGGGGGAGGUUGCCGCGGUGUUGAGGCGAGGCUCAGGGGGCGGUGUACGAAGAUGGCCGCCGUGCACCGCCGCCGCGCGCCCUGAAGGAAGCAGCAUGGCGCCGCAGGACUCUCAGGAUUCCCUGCUGAAGGAGGCCUCAGAGGCAGGCCGCCUCGCCGCUCCUUCCUCCUUCCCCCUUACGCCUCCUACCCAGUGCUUCUGCAGGAGGAACCAUUUGGACACCUCGAAAGGAAAACGCGGGGCCCUGUGUAGUGAAUAUCUAAUGGGAACCUCUGUGGCCUCACCCUCCCGCCCGCUCGGGGCCGCGGGACGCUCGAGUGCCUCCUCAGUGAAAGCCCCUCGACCGGCGGCAGGCAGGAAAGAGGCGAAACCGAGGAGUGACCCGAGGGAGGCGUGGCCGAGCGAACGCUGCAACUCUCGGUGUCGGAUGAGCCUCAGGGGUUCGGGUCGGUCCCCCCUGGUGGCCCUCCUGCUGCCUCUCCAUUCCUUCCUCCUGCUCGGGUUGCUGCCCCAUGCCGUGGCCUUCAAUCUAGGUGAGUAGAGCUUCUUGAUUUUUGCCUGACCAAGUAGGUGAGUUGCAGUGUACACAGGCCUCAUGCGGGACACGGGAAUGUUGAUGGUGGGAGGAAUCCCUUAGAGGCAUGUCUUAUCUUAUAGCAAACAAGGAAGUGGCCUUCGAAAUAAUGUCCAGCUGGUGAGUGUAUCCACUUUCAUCUCCACCUCAUCCACCUUACUAUACAUGAUAUUCUCCACCUCCCUUAUCUCCAUCAUCUCCACGUCUGUUCAUUUCUAUGGAUCUUCGUUUCCUCCUCUAA